GACACCGUAGCGCAACUGUAGCGUGUCUUACUCUAGAUCAGAAGGUUGCGUGUUCAAAUCACGUCGGAGUCA
rnacentral:tRNA from 1 species